AGUGAACGCUGGCGGCAGGCCUAAUACAUGCAAGUCGAACGGCAGCACAGUGGAGCUUGCUCCAUGGGUGGCGAGUGGCGGACGGGUGAGGAAUACAUGGGAAUCUGCCCAGUCGUGGGGGAUAACGUAGGGAAACUUACGUUAAUACCGCAUGCGCCCUUCGGGGGAAAGCCGGGGACCUUCGGGCCUGGCGCGAUUGGAUGAGCCCAUGUUCGAUUAGCUAGUUGGCGGGGUAAAGGCCCACCAAGGCGACGAUCGAUAGCUGGUCUGAGAGGAUGAUCAGCCACACUGGGACUGAGACACGGCCCAGACUCCUACGGGAGGCAGCAGUAGGGAAUAUUGGACAAAGGGCGCAAGCCUGAUCCAGCCAUGCCGCGUGAGUGAAGAAGGCCCUCGGGUUGUAAAGCUCUUUUGUCCGGGAAGAAAAGCAUCGGGCUAAUACCUCGGUGUUCUGACGGUACCGGAAGAAUAAGCACCGGCUAACUUCGUG
rnacentral:rRNA from 1 species